AUGCCUUGCAGGUCCCAAUUCCCACACCCUCCACAUAACUUCUCAUUUUCAUUCGUUUUCAUCGAUGUAAACUGCACCACCUUCUCCAAAUCAAGCAAGAUGGAUGCCCAGGGCGCUCUCGACUCGCUCCUUGGCCGCCUCACCGCCAUCCUUGUUGACGAGGCGCAGCUGCUCGGCGGCCUCCAUGGCGAUGUGGAGUUCAUCAAGGAUGAGAUGGAAAGCAUGAACGGCCUGCUCCUCCACCUCAUCGAGGUGCACCACCGUGACCACCAGGUGCGCGCUUGGAUGAAGCAAGUCGUCGACCUCACCCGCGACUGCGAGGGCAACGUCGAGCUCUACAUCCACAGCGUUACAGACGUUGGCCACCAUGCUAGUGGCUUCCUGGGCUACUUGCGGCACAUCGUCCGCUAUGUGCGCACCAUCCCGGAGAGGCACCGGAUCGCAACGAGGAUUCGGGAGCUCAAGGUCAGGGCGCGCGAUGUAGGUGACAGGAAGCUGCGGUAUGGUGUCACCGUGCCACCGGCUGCUGACCAAGCUGACCCGAUAUUCAUGGGCGACGUACCCCAUGGAUCAAAAGAUGAAGAUGAAGAUGCUCAGAGACACUCUCUUCUUAUCAAUUGUCCAGACGAAGUGGCUUAUGUUGAGAAAAUCAUUGAUGAUAUCAUCAAGUCUUUGCUAGCUGAGGAAGAACUUGUCCAAGAUCCGGCAAACGGGGACUCACACCCGAGGAUAUUUCUUAUAAUCCCACCGAGGUAUGAUUACCUUGAUAUGGAUAUGAUUACAAAGAAACUGUAUAAGCGGAAAAUGUGCUCAUUUAGUUGCAAAGCCUUGGUCCACUACGGCAAGCAGUGCUUCUCUGAAGUCCAAGUACUGCGGGAAAUACUGCACCAAGUGGCACCCCUUCCAGCUGAACAAGACAUGCUCAAGGUGGAACUGGAGAAGAGUUCGGAAAUAUCACCCAGUAUUGAUGUGGAGGAUGAGACCAUGCAACUCAUGAAGAAACUUGAGGGGUAUCUCAAAGGUAAACGGUUCUUAAUCAUUGUUCGAGGUAUCGAUGAUAAGUAUGACUGGGAAAGCAUAGGCCCUGGUCUGUUACAUGCUACUGCUCACGGUUCUCCUGAUAGUGCUAUAGUCUUUACAAGAUAUUCUGAAGAUUUUUUCAUCGAGUCCCCUUAA
rnacentral:rRNA from 1 species